rnacentral:rRNA from 1 species
UACAGAGGUCUCAAGCGUUGUUCGGAUUCAUUGGGCGUAAAGGGUGUGUAGGUGGCGCCGUAAGUCGGGUGUGAAAUCUCGGGGCUUAACUCCGAAACUGCAUUCGAUACUGGCGAUCUCGAGUCCGGGAGAGGUGAGUGGAACUGCGAGUGUAGAGGUGAAAUUCGUAGAUAUUCGCAAGAACACCAGUGGCGAAGGCGGCUCACUGGCCCGGUACUGACGCUGAGGUGCGAAAGCGUGGGGAGCAAACAGG